GUGGUGGUGGCUCAGUAGUUAAGAGCGCUUGGUGCUCUUGCAGAGGACCUGGGUUCAAUUCCCANCACCCACA
rnacentral:tRNA from 1 species